UACGGAGGGAGCUAGCGUUGUUCGGAAUUACUGGGCGUAAAGCGCGCGUAGGCGGCUUUGUAAGUUAGAGGUGAAAGCCCGGGGCUCAACCCCGGAACUGCCUUUAAGACUGCAUCGCUUGAAUCCGGGAGAGGUGAGUGGAAUUCCGAGUGUAGAGGUGAAAUUCGUAGAGAUUGGGAAGAACACCGGUGGCGAAAGCGCUCUGCUGGGCCGCAACUGACACUAAUGGACGAAAGCUAGGGGAGCGAAUGGG
rnacentral:rRNA from 1 species